UGGGGAAUUUUGGGCAAUGGGGGAAACCCUGACCCAGCAACGCCGCGUGAAGGAUGAAGUAUUUCGGUAUGUAAACUUCGAAAGAAUAGGAAGAAUAAAUGACGGUACUAUUUAUAAGGUCCGGCUAACUACGUGCCAGCAGCCGCGGUAAUACGUAGGGACCAAGCGUUGUUCGGAUUUACUGGGCGUAAAGGGCGCGUAGGCGGCAUGACAAGUCACUUGUGAAAUCUCUGGGCUUAACCCAGAACGGCCAAGUGAUACUGUCGCGCUAGAGUGCAGAAGGGGCAAUCGGAAUUCUUGGUGUAGCGGUGAAAUGCGUAGAUAUCAAGAGGAACACCCGAGGUGAAGACGGGUUGCUGGGCUGACACUGACGCUGAGGCGCGAAAGCCAGGGGAGCAAACGGGAUUAGAUACCCUUGUAGUCCCUGAGCGGGCUGGCAAGGCGCAU
rnacentral:rRNA from 1 species